ACACUCUUGGAUCUCAGAGCUGACUUACUUCCCACAGGCAUGUUCUGAAUCAGAGCCAACUCCAGUAUAUAAACAAAUAGCUUUGUAGAUGCUGCUUUUAAUCAGCAUGGCAAACACAAUUCAUGGAAGGUCAAGGCAAUUUUCCAUUUGUGCUGCAACUGCACAUUCCUACCUGCUGGGAAGAAGACCCAAGCUUCCUGUGGGUUGUGUUGAUUCAGCUUGGCCAUCUGAAGUAACCCAGCGUCAACGGUUGGAAUGGAAUCCUGCUGCUUCGGUCAGGGGCUCUGCUGGUGGCACUUUGUGGAUCCUUGGAGAAACCAGGCAUGUAAGUGGUACACAGAUGUAUGUGCAGGCAAAACACCCAAACACAUAAAAUACAAAAUAAUAAAGUAAGUAAAAGCUUUAAAAAGCGCCUGUUCACGAUAAAAUAUGUCUCAAUCAAGCUAAUUACCACACAUGACCAAGCUCAGUGAAUGUUAUCAAUCUUGGCAAGCCCGUUCCCUGGGCUGUAGUUUGGCGAGAUGCUUGUAGGGCCAGUGGGAUCUUCCAUUCACUCACUCAUGCACAUUACCGAUUCCAUCACAAUGCACUGUGUGGCCUGAGAAGAGCCACAGGUACACAGCAUUUACCUACACUGCACUGUACUCUGCUUUCACAUUAUAAACAUGAGGGUGGGGGAUCAUGUCACAUCAACGCUUGCCAUGCCCCUCCCAAAACUGACCAGCAGGGUGGAGCCAUCCUCUCCCUCCUGUGAUUCUGAAGCUUCAGGAGAAAGGAGACCUGAACACACUGAAGAGGCAUUGCGCCGUUCCC